rnacentral:lncRNA from 14 species
AUUGCAAGCUUAUGACUGCUGAGACCAGAAUCAUGCAGAUGGUGGUGUCCUGCUGCCUGUGAAAAGCGAAGCUACAUGGACAAUGCUUUCCAGGCUGCCCAGGCCCACCACGGUGGUCUGAGGAAAUACCAGAGGGAACAUCACAGCACCAUACUUGUGUGCCUCCAUGGAAAAAUAACCUGUCACCAAAAAAAGGAAAAAGGCUCCACAGUGGUUACUGCCAAAUGCCACUAACCUGCUACCCACAGAAAUCUACACCAUGGAAUGACAACACAUCAGUGUUUCCAGAUGCUGUGGGAGAUGAUCAAUGUAGGCCAGACCCAGAGAGAUUCCACGCACCACUGACUGCAAACACAUCUCUGGAGCAGCUCAGAUACACUGCACUGCUAGAGUGGAUGAGACCUUCUGCAGUGCUCAAUGACUCGGGGACAAAUCUAUUGCUCCUCUUUGGUGAAAUCCAGCCUCUAGGAAUGCAGCUGCUCAACCUCCCUUAACCUUGGAGCCACCUACCCAGAUUUUCCUUGAGCCAAGACAACAUGGGCAAAGGGAAGAUGAACUCAUGAACUCAUGACGAAGUUCAGAAGUGGCAGGUGGCAAGAGGUCCCAGAUGUCCUACCAGUCCAUUGUAGUGUAGGGUUCAAAUAGGCUGGGCCAUUCCCUCCCUCCGAUUACUGGGAGUUCAGAUUAAUCAGUAACUCUGAUUAGUCCUGUUUAUGUGGCAUGAAAACAGCACUCAGGCCAAGAGAGACCUCCUUAGAGGACUGUGGCCGUAUCUAAGACAGCAGAGGAGUACUAGGAUUUUAAUAUGAAUCAUUACCAUAUCUAAAAUCUGAUGAGAUAUGUUUGUAACUCAGUUCUGACCUUACCUGUUUACAUAAAUUUUUGAAAGCUUUUCCUUUCAUUAGCAAGUAUGUUCAAAUUGUAAAUUGCCACUAGCCAGCUGGAACUGACCCACUUCAGCUUCUACAAAGAGGUAGCUGCUAAAGCGUGUAUUUUUCACUCACACUUCAGCUUCAAACCUGAUGUGUACUUCUUUCUUUUCCUCUCUGUUUUCUGUGUCUCCAGCAGUAGAAUGAUCCACAGAAAUUACUUGGUCCAUGAGAAUUUCCAUGACACCAUAUUACUUGUGAACACAAAAAUUUUCCCAGAAUUAGUUGGCCCUGGACCAUAAAAAGGGUAUAGAGGGGUCCCUCAGAUAGAAAGAGUUUGGUUUAUAAGAAAUAAUGAGAAACAACAAUUGAAUGCCAUGUAAAAAUUCAUUUACAUUCCUGCUGCACAGCAGUUGCUUUAUUUCCAGAACCUGUAAGGCAGCAGAGUAAGUAGCACAAAACAUCAAACCCUUUUUUACAGUUUUACAAAAUAUGCUGGUUUGUGUCAGUAAUAGGAAGGGCAAGAGGAAAAAAAUACCUCCAUCAAGCUGUGCUUCCUGGUGUAUUUAGUGUAUACUCAAGUGCUUCCUGAUAUAUUUAGAAACAACCAACUAACACAAAAAUAUGGUUUGUAGUUAAGGUCCCUUAUUUACACUUUGAGUGCAGAAUAAGGACAUAUGCAUGAUUCUGCAAUGAAUAAAUGAAUAUUUAACAAAUCUGAAUGAAGAUAA